rnacentral:tRNA from 1 species
AUAGGUUUAGCUCAGAGGUAGAGUGUGUGCUUAGCAUGCAUGAGGUCCUGGGUUCGAUCCUCAGUAUCUCCA